AUACGUAGGGUGCGAGCGUUAAUCGGAAUUACUGGGCGUAAAGCGUGCGCAGGUGGUUUUGUAAGUCAGAUGUGAAAUCCCAGGGCUUAACCUGGGAACUGCGUUUGAAACUGCAAGGCUAGAGUGUGGCAGAGGGGGGUGGAAUUCCGCGUGUAGCAGUGAAAUGCGUAGAUAUGUGGAGGAACACCGAUGGCGAAGGCAGCCCCCUGGGUCAACACUGACGCUCAGGCACGAAAGCAUGGGGAGCAAACAGGAUUAGAAACCCCAGUAGUCC
rnacentral:rRNA from 1 species